UACGUAGGGCGCAAGCGUUGUCCGGAAUUAUUGGGCGUAAAGAGCUCGUAGGCGGUUUGUCGCGUCUGCUGUGAAAACCUAAGGCUCAACCUUGGGCUUGCAGUGGAUACGGGCAGACUAGAGGUAGGUAGGGGAGAAUGGAAUUCCUGGUGUAGCGGUGAAAUGCGCAGAUAUCAGGAGGAACACCGGUGGCGAAGGCGGUUCUCUGGGCCUUACCUGACACUGAGGAGCGAAAGCGUGGGGAGCGAAUAGG
rnacentral:rRNA from 1 species